GGGGUUGUAGCUCAGCUGGGAGAGCACUUGACUGGCAGUCAAGAGGCCACGGGUUCGAGCCCCGUCAACUCCACCA
rnacentral:tRNA from 1 species